rnacentral:rRNA from 1 species
UACGUACCGUACGAACGUUAUUCGGAAUUACUGGGCUUAAAGGGUUUGUAGGCGGCCUUGUAAGUCAGGUGUGAAAUCCCUCGGCUCAACCGAGGAACGGCGCUUGAUACUGCAAGGCUUGAGGGAGACAGGGGUAAGCGGAACUGAUGGUGGAGCGGUGAAAUGCGUUGAUAUCAUCAGGAACACCGGUGGCGAAAGCGGCUUACUGGGUCUCUUCUGACGCUGAGGAACGAAAGCUAGGGGAGCAAACGGG